rnacentral:rRNA from 1 species
UACGAAGGGUGCAAGCGUUACUCGGAAUUACUGGGCGUAAAGCGUGCGUAGGUGGUUUGUUAAGUCUGAUGUGAAAGCCCUGGGCUCAACCUGGGAAUUGCAUUGGAUACUGGCAGGCUAGAGUGCGGUAGAGGAUGGCGGAAUUCCCGGUGUAGCAGUGAAAUGCGUAGAGAUCGGGAGGAACAUCUGUGGCGAAGGCGGCCAUCUGGACCAGGACUGACACUGAGGCGCGAAAGCGUGGGGAGCAAACAGG